CGGAGUGAACGCACCACUGGUGUUCGGGUUGUCAUGCCAAUGGCAUUGCCCGGUAGCUAAGUGCGGAAGAGAUAACCGCUGAAAGCAUCUAAGCGGGAAACUUGCCUCGAGAUGAGUCUUCCCUGUCACUUUAAGUGACCUAAAGGAACGUUUAAGACUAAGACGUUGAUAGGCUGGGUGUGUAAGCGUAGCGAUACGUUGAGCUAACCAGUACUAAUGAACCGUGAGGCUUAACCUGACAACACCGAAAGUGUU
rnacentral:rRNA from 1 species